rnacentral:lncRNA from 1 species
ACCAAACAACUCGCGAGGCGAAGGGAAAGGGCUCGCGUGGCGAGCGAUGAAGUUCAUCACUCGCGAGGCGAGGAUCAUCCCUCGCCGUGGCGAGCGAUGAACAGAAGCACGGGCAGACUAGGGUUUUUCUCAAAAAUCCAACACACAACAUGGUUCAAAGCCUAAUUUUGAUUCCAUAAUCCAUCCUAAACAUGUUCUAAGGUUAAAGGACGGUUUCUACAUCAAUC